rnacentral:lncRNA from 1 species
GCUGAGCUUAAGGUCGAGUGCGAGAGAGAUUCGUUGAGAAAUUGAAAGAAGUGUGAGGUGAGGAAUGUUUGAAUGAUGGAGUUUGAGAGAUGAAGGUUUGAGCUCGUAAGGUGAGAGAGAGUGAGGGAGACGAUAGCGGUGGAGACGAGCUUCUGCUGUUUCCAUUUUCUUUUUUUCUUUUUUUAAUUAUUUCUUUUAUUAUUUAAUUUAUUUCAUUUUUAACACAAAAAUCAGAAAAAUGUAUAUGUUCUUAUUUUCUUUUAUUAUUAUUAUUUAUUUAUUUUUUAUUUAGCUUAAUUUGUUUUUAACAGAGAUAAUAAAAAACCAUAAAAAUGUUUAUUUUGUUUUUUUUAUUUAUUUUGUUAUAAAUUUGUCAGCCCAGUUCAUAUAUUUAUGGUAGUACCUCAAUAGUAGAUAGUGUUGAGUGGCCUAGUGGAGAGAUGGUAGUUGCAUAAUAUUAGGUGGGGAGGGUUCAAUACUCAUGUGUGGUACUUUUUGCUUUUUAUUUGAUUUUAUUUUCCUUUAGCAUUUUUUAUUCUUUUGGUAUUUUGUUAAUAUCUUUUUUUUAUGUUUAUUAUAAUUUCAUUUGUUAAUAAUGCAUAGUUAUUGUAUUUGAAUUUAGUUCAAAAACUAUUUUUUCAAACUAUAAAAAUCAUACUUUUCUCGAUUUAAUAUCGAGCCCAUUUUUUACACCCUUGUAAGUCGAUUGCUUUUUAAGCAUCGCCAUCAACCUCACAUAGCUUACUCUUGGGCUUUCUUACAAUGAGCCGGUUCCCUUGCACUUACACUCGUACAUUGUUUAUUGUUUCAUUAUUUCAUUCUUUGAUUAUUUGAUUUGAUUAUAUACUUGUUUAUAUCUUACUUGUUUGAUUAACUGUUGCCUACUUGUAUGAUGUAUGAGGCAUAUAUUGUUUGAU